UAUAUAUUACAUCCGUCCCAAAUUAGUUGUCUUGGAUUUUUCUACAUACGGAUGUACCUAACACUAAAAUGUGUCUAGAUACAUCUGUAUCUAGACAAAUCUGAGACAACUAAUUCGAGACAGAGGGAGUACUUU
rfam:Triticum aestivum genome assembly, contig: Triticum_aestivum_CS42_TGACv1_scaffold_225989_3B